rnacentral:rRNA from 1 species
AGCUUGCUCCUUUGACGUUAGCGGCGGACGGGUGAGUAACACGUGGAUAACCUACCUAUAAGACUGGGAUAACUUCGGGAAACCGGAGCUAAUACCGGAUAACAUAUUGAACCGCAUGGUUCAAUAGUGAAAGGCGGCUUUGCUGUCACUUAUAGAUGGAUCCGCGCCGUAUUAGCUAGUUGGUAAGGUAACGGCUUACCAAGGCAACGAUACGUAGCCGACCUGAGAGGGUGAUCGGCCACACUGGAACUGAGACACGGUCCAGACUCCUACGGGAGGCAGCAGUAGGGAAUCUUCCGCAAUGGGCGAAAGCCUGACGGAGCAACGCCGCGUGAGUGAUGAAGGUCUUCGGAUCGUAAAACUCUGUUAUCAGGGAAGAACAAAUGUGUAAGUAACUGUGCACAUCUUGACGGUACCUGAUCAGAAAGCCACGGCUAACUACGUGCCAGCAGCCGCGGUAAUACGUAGGUGGCAAGCGUUAUCCGGAAUUAUUGGGCGUAAAGCGCGCGUAGGCGGUUUUUUAAGUCUGAUGUGAAAGCCCACGGCUCAACCGUGGAGGGUCAUUGGAAACUGGAAAACU